CCCCUCUCAGGAUCGUACCUGGAGAGUUUCCAGUACUCUACCAGUCUCGGCUACAGGAGGGAGAGUCAAGCAGAGGUGUACCCAUUCCACUCUUAGCUUGGGUAGUGGCUAGCGAGUGGAAGGAAAUCUGCUACAAAU